ensembl:snoRNA SNORA66 Small nucleolar RNA SNORA66
UUGCAAACUUGAUCACUAGCUCUGUGUGAUGUUGCAGAAGCAAGGGGAACAGAUUUGCUGAAGUAAACAUGGUCAUAGAACUAUAUUAGCCUUAGAAAUGAAAUGAUUUGGGCUGUUUAAUUCUAUAUCAUGAUGAAG